GACGAACGCUGGCGGCGUGCUUAACACAUGCAAGUCGAACGGAAAGGCCCUGCUUUUGUGGGGUGCUCGAGUGGCGAACGGGUGCGUAACACGUGAGUAACCUGCCCUUGACUUUGGGAUAACUUCAGGAAACUGGGGCUAAUACCGGAUAGGAGCCCCUGCUGCAUGGUGGGGGUUGGAAAGUCUCGGCGGUUGGGGAUGGACUCGCGGCUUAUCAGCUUGCUGGUGGGGGAGUGGCUGACCAAGGCUUUGACGGGUAGCCGGCCUGAGAGGGUGACCGGCCACAUUGGGACUGAGAGACGGCCCAGACUCCUACGGGAGGCAGCAGUGGGGAAUAUUGCACAAUGGGCGGAAGCCUGAUGCAGCAACGCCGCGGGCGGGAUGACGGCCUUCGGGUUGUAAACCGCUUUCGCCUGUGACGAAGCGUGAGUGACGGUAAUGGAUAAAGAAGCACCGGCUAACUACGUG
rnacentral:rRNA from 1 species